rnacentral:rRNA from 1 species
AGAGUUUGAUCCUGGCUCAGGACGAACGCUGGCGGCGCGCCUAACACAUGCAAGUCGAACGGAGCUUAGAGAGCUUGCUUUUUAAGCUUAGUGGCGAACGGGUGAGUAACGCGUGAGUAACCUGCCCUAGAGUGGGGGACAACAGUUGGAAACGACUGCUAAUACCGCAUAAGCCCACGGUGCCGCAUGACACUGAGGGAAAAGGAUUUAUUCGCUUUAGGAUGGACUCGCGUCCAAUUAGCUAGUUGGUGAGGUAACGGCCCACCAAGGCGACGAUUGGUAGCCGGACUGAGAGGUUGAACGGCCACAUUGGGACUGAGACACGGCCCAGACUCCUACGGGAGGCAGCAGUGGGGGAUAUUGCACAAUGGGGGAAACCCUGAUGCAGCGACGCCGCGUGGAGGAAGAAGGUUUUCGGAUUGUAAACUCCUGUCGUUAGGGACGAUAAUGACGGUACCUAACAAGAAAGCACCGGCUAACUACGUGCCAGCAGCCGCGGUAAAACGUAGGGUGCAAGCGUUGUCCGGAAUUACUGGGUGUAAAGGGAGCGCAGGCGGGAAGACAAGUUGGAAGUGAAAACCAUGGGCUCAACCCAUGAAUUGCUUUCAAAACUGUUUUUCUUGAGUAGUGCAGAGGUAGAUGGAAUUCCCGGUGUAGCGGUGGAAUGCGUAGAUAUCGGGAGGAACACCAGUGGCGAAGGCGGUCUACUGGGCACCAACUGACGCUGAGGCUCGAAAGCAUGGGUAGCAAACAGGAUUAGAUACCCUGGUAGUCCAUGCCGUAAACGAUGAUUACUAGGUGUUGGGGGAUUGACCCCCUCAGUGCCGCAGUUAACACAAUAAGUAAUCCACCUGGGGAGUACGACCGCAAGGUUGAAACUCAAAGGAAUUGACGGGGGCCCGCACAAGCAGUGGAGUAUGUGGUUUAAUUCGAAGCAACGCGAAGAACCUUACCAAGUCUUGACAUCCCUCUGACCGGUGAGUAACGUCACCUUUCCUUCGGGACAGAGGAGACAGGUGGUGCAUGGUUGUCGUCAGCUCGUGUCGUGAGAUGUUGGGUUAAGUCCCGCAACGAGCGCAACCCCUAUCCUUAGUAGCCAGCGGUUUGGCCGGGCACUCUGAGGAGACUGCCAGGGAUAACCUGGAGGAAGGCGGGGAUGACGUCAAAUCAUCAUGCCCCUUAUGAUUUGGGCUACACACGUGCUACAAUGGCGUAAACAAAGGGAAGCGAGAGUGUGAGCUUAAGCAAAUCCCAAAAAUAACGUCCCAGUUCGGACUGCAGUCUGCAACUCGACUGCACGAAGCUGGAAUCGCUAGUAAUCGCGGAUCAGAAUGCCGCGGUGAAUACGUUCCCGGGUCUUGCACUCACCGCCCGUCA